UACGAAGGGGGCUAGCGUUGCUCGGAAUCACUGGGCGUAAAGGGUGCGUAGGCGGGUCUUUAAGUCAGGGGUGAAAUCCUUGAGCUCAACUCCAGAACUGCCUUUGAUACUGAGGAUCUUGAGUACGGGAGAGGUGAGUGGAACUGCGAGUGUAGAGGUGAAAUUCGUAGAUAUUCGCAAGAACACCAGUGGCGAAGGCGGCUCACUGGCCCGUAACUGACGCUGAGGCACGAAAGCGUGGGGAGCAAACAGG
rnacentral:rRNA from 1 species